rnacentral:rRNA from 1 species
CCUACGGGAGGCAGCAGUAAGGAAUAUUGGACAAUGGGCGAAAGCCUGAUCCAGCCAUGCCGCGUGAAGGAUUAAGGUCCUCUGGAUUGUAAACUUCUUUUAUGUGGGACGAAAAAAGGGCAUUCUUGCUCACUUGACGGUACCAUUUGAAUAAGCACCGGCUAACUCCGUGCCAGCAGCCGCGGUAAUACGGAGGGUGCAAGCGUUAUCCGGAUUCACUGGGUUUAAAGGGUGCGUAGGCGGGUAGGUAAGUCAGUGGUGAAAUCUCGAAGCUUAACUUCGAAACUGCCAUUGAUACUAUCUAUCUUGAAUAUUGUGGAGGUUUGCGGAAUAUGUCAUGUAGCGGUGAAAUGCUUAGAUAUGACAUAGAACACCGAUUGCGAAGGCAGCAGGCUACACAUAUAUUGACGCUAGAGGCACGAAAGCGUGGGGAUCAAACAGGAUUAGAUACCCUGGUAGUCCACGCCCUAAACCGAUGAUUACUCGACAUACGCGAUACACUGUGUGUGUCUGAGCGAAGCAUUAAGUAAUCCACCUGGAAGUACGUCCGCGAGAUGAAACUCAAUGAAUUAGACGG